rnacentral:misc_RNA from 1 species
GAAAUGCGAUAAGUAAUGUGAAUUGCAGAAUUCAGUGAAUCAUCGAAUCUUUGAACGCACCUGGCGCUCCUUGGUAUUCCUUGGAGCAUGCCUGUUUGAGUAUCAUGAAAUCUUCAAAGUAAAUCUUUUGUUAACUCAAUUGGUUUCUACUUUGGUAUUGGAGGUCUUUGCAGCUUCACACCUGCUCCUCUUUGUUCAUUAGCUGGAUCUCAGUGUUAUGCUUGGUUCCACUCGGCGUGAUAAGUUAUCUAUCGCUGAGGACACUGUAAAAGGUGGCCAAGGUAAAUGCAGAUGAACCGCUUCUAAUAGUCCAUUGACUUGGACAAUACUUUUAUGAUCUGAUCUCAAAUCAGGUAGGACUACCCGCUGAACUUAAGC